GAUGAACGCUAGCUACAGGCUUAACACAUGCAAGUCGCGGGGCAGCAUGGGGGUUGCUUGCAACCCCUGAUGGCGACCGGCGCACGGGUGAGUAACGGGUAUCCAACCUGCCCUUCACCACGGGAUAACCCGGCGAAAGUCGGACUAAUACCGUAUGUUGUCCAUUGACGGCAUCCGAUUUGGACGAAAGGCUUGGCGUAGAAAGGAAGGGGAUGCGUCCGAUUAGCUUGACGGCGGGGUAACGGCCCACCGUGGCUACGAUCGGUAGGGGUUCUGAGAGGAAGAUCCCCCACACUGGAACUGAGACACGGUCCAGACUCCUACGGGAGGCAGCAGUGAGGAAUAUUGGUCAAUGGGCGUAAGCCUGAACCAGCCAAGUAGCGUGCAGGAUGACGGCCCUAUGGGUUGUAAACUGCUUUUAUGCGGGGAUAAAGUGGCCCACGUGUGGGCUUUUGCAGGUACCGCAUGAAUAAGGACCGGCUAAUUCCGUG
rnacentral:rRNA from 1 species